UGGUCCUAAUGAUCUGAUUACUUUUCAUGAUUUUCAUAUGAUAUGAUAAUCAUUUAAAAGUG
rnacentral:rRNA from 1 species